CUACGCUAGUCGUAAAUGGUUGUACGGUGGAGGUUUAUAAAUUAGCUGCAAACGGUUUCAAAUGAAAAUUUUAAUAGUGAACUGAUAUUUCUUUGUUAAGAAUUUUAAAUUGAUUACACUAUAUAUUUGAACUUUACCGAAAACUUGAUUCAAUUCUGCACCUUAUGAAAGUUGGAGAUCAAGAUAUUAUGAAAUGUUUCUUAAAUGGAUGAUUCUGUUCUUUCUUGGAUUAAUUUGUUCGGUAUAUAGUGCUAAUGAGCGAGCAUGGACGAUUCGUAAACAGGUCAAGUUUGAAGAUGGUCACUGCAUAACCGAAGAGUUCGGCAAGAUCGAAGCAGGUGGGUAUGCCAACAACCCCAAUGAAUGCAGGCAAGCUUUCUGCCACCCUCCGAACAAAUAUACUAAAGAUGGUGCAAUACAUAUAAAUCACUGUGUUGGAUCAAUUACUUGCGGCUUUACAAAGAAAGGACCCGGUGAGUUCCCAGAUUGUUGCCCACGUAAUGAUCCUGACCAAUGUUCAGAAAGGACAAUAGUUCCUCUUAAAUAAAAACUAAAAAUGAUUUUGAAGGAAA